CCGCCGGCCCCCGAGGGAGGAGCGGGAGCGCGCGCAGCCACCCGCGCCGCCGCCGCCCGCGCCCCCGCGCCUGGCGCUCAGCGAAGACACAGAGCCCAGCAGCAGUGAGAGCCGCACAGGCCUCUGCUCGCCAGAGGACAACUCGCUAACGCCCCUGCUGGACGAGGUGGUGGCACCCGAAGGCCGGGCAGCCACAGUACCCAGGGGUCGGGGCCGCAGCCGUGGGGACAGUUCCCGCAGUAGCGCCAGUGAGCUGCGGCGCGACUCGCUCACCAGCCCCGAGGACGAGCUAGGGGCGGAGGUGGGUGAUGAGGCUGGCGACAAAAAGAGCCCGUGGCAGCGGCGGGAGGAGCGGCCG
rnacentral:lncRNA from 1 species